AUAUUUAUUAAGUAAAACUUAUAAAAUAUCUAAACCCAAUCAAAAACUUUUUUUUUCCUCCUCAGGUUUUAAUAUUUCAACAAUAACAGUCACAGCCCCCGCUGUUUGACCAUCUGGAGUACUGCAAGUCAGGGAUUCUUUAGCUUUUCAUGCCGAGAUCCAAAUCAGCAGUCUCUUCAGGAGUCAGACUACUUUCCUUCCAACUCCUUGUACUGUAGCCCAGUGCAAAACCUUACUAACGACAAGGCCUAAAAAAUACAGCAUUUGUCAUGCUCUCUGUGCUCACUUCCUUCACACAGAUCAGUUUACCUGAGAAGAGAAAAAAAGAAGACAAAUUUAAGGUGAAAUUAAAGGUGUGCCACUCCCCGUGGUGCCAUCUAGAUUAGUCAAACUAGGUCACCAGUGUUUAACAUUUCAUCACCAUGAGAAAAUCUGCAUUCAGGGAGCCCAUCCUGAUUUUCUCAAUUUAACACUCAGGUGCUGAAUCUGGGCCAUUCGAAAUUAAACUCAGACAAUUCCUAUGAUUUCUGGGUUGCUGCUGAACAAAUGAAGUCAUAUAAUUUGCACACAACCAGCAGAGAGUUGUAGACACACACACAAACAAAGUGUGUGCACCUAUUUCAGCAGGUUUCACGGUUUCUUCUGGUAGAGCAGUACAGCAGAAAGAUGGGCAGAUGGCAGAGAGAAGUAGAGGAUUGAAAGGGAGGAAGGCAACGUGUGUUUCAGUAUGUCAACACAUAGAUAUUUCCUCUGGACCACACUGUCCCUCUUCAUGUCUCACCCGAGUGUCCGGGGAGUGGGUGGCAGGCCUGUUUAGCCUUCAGAAAAUGAGCUUUGGCAGUGCUGGUUGGCAUCGUGAAUGGGGAACACACUGGAGCGAUUUACUUAAGUGUCAUAAUUCAGCCACAUCUGAAGGUUUUCAAGCAUGAUCGGCUUAAGGCAGGGGUGGACUUCUGGUGUUGACUUGAUUAUUGUCCUGCUUCAUACCCGUGGGUGUUUCAGCUUCAGGAUAUGAACUAAUGGCUCCUUCAGGAUUUUCUGGUACAGAGCAGAAUUCAUGGUUCCAUCAAUUACAGCAAGAUGUCCCGAAACCUCAACACAGCCCCAGACCAUCACACUACCGCCAUCAUGUUGGACUGUUGGUUUAAUGCUGAAGCUGUGUUAGUUUUUUGCCAAAAAGUUCCGCUUAUGUCUCGUCAGUUUACAAAAUAUUUUUUCUAGAAGUCUUGGGAAUCUUCAAGAUGCCUUUUUAGCAAAUGUGAGACAAACCUGUUCUUUUUGGUCAGCUGUCAUUUUUGCCUUGGGACUCUCCCAUGGAUGCCGUUUUUGACCAGUGUCUUUCUUAUCAGUCUCUUAUCAUGUCAUCAUAAAAACUGACUUUAACUGAGAGCAAUUCAAUUCAAAUCACAAAUACCUUUGUAACCCUUUCCAGACUGAUAGAGGUCACUGACUUUGUCUCUCAGCUAAACUUCUUCUUAAAAACAUUUCCCUUUAGAAUUUCGUUCUGCAUGUACGCAAAAUAAAGGGC